CGAUAGUCUUUCGCCCCAUGCGCAGAUUUGACGAUCGAUUUGCACGUCAGAACCGCUGCGAGCCUCCACCAGAGUUUCCUCUGGCUUCACCCUAUCCACGCAUAGUUCACCAUCUUUCGGGUCCGAACAGUUAUGCUCUUACUCAAAUCCAUCCGAAGACAUCAGGAUCGGUCGAUGAUGCACCCGUAAGGGCUCUCACCUCCGUUCACUUUCAUUACGCUUGAGGGUUUAACACCCAAAAACUCGCAUAAAUGUUCGACUCCUUGGUCCGUGUUUCAAGACGGGUGGCUGAUGACCAUUAUGCCAGCAUCCUAGCCGAAGCGCGGUCCUCAGUCCCAGCGGCGGUAUUACACAGCAGGCUAUAACACUCCCGGGGGAGUCACGUUCCUGAAGUCUUUAUCCCGCCGCCGAAACUGAUGCUGGCCUCAACCAAGCGGAGUGCACCGGUGAGAACACCGGAUGAUCCGCAAGGCAAAGGUCUGGUCACAAGCCCUUCCCUUUCAACAAUUUCACGUACUAUUUAACCCUCUUUUCAAAGUGCUUUUCAUCUUUCGAUCACUCUACUUGUGCGCUAUCGGUCUCUGGCCGGUAUUUAGCUUUAGAAGAAAUUUACCUCCCAUUUAGAGCAGCAUUCCCAAACUACUCGACUCGUCGAAGGAGAUUUACAGAGGCUCGGCAUCCAACCGUACGGGGCUCUCACCCUCUAAGGCGUCCUGUUCCAAGGAACUCGGAAGGUACCUAACCAAAAUCAUCCUCUACAAAUUACAACUCGGACCCGAGGGCCAGAUUUCAAAUUUGAGCUGUUGCCGCUUCACUCGCCGUUACUAGGGCAUCCCUGUUGUUCU
rnacentral:rRNA from 1 species